UACGAAGGGGGCUAGCGUUGCUCGGAAUCACUGGGCGUAAAGCGCACGUAGGCGGCUUCUUAAGUCAGGGGUGAAAUCCUGGAGCUCAACUCCAGAACUGCCUUUGAUACUGAGGAGCUUGAGUCCGGGAGAGGUGAGUGGAACUGCGAGUGUAGAGGUGAAAUUCGUAGAUAUUCGCAAGAACACCAGUGGCGAAGGCGGCUCACUGGCCCGGUACUGACGCUGAGGUGCGAAAGCGUGGGGAGCAAACAGGAUUAAGAAACCCUGG
rnacentral:rRNA from 1 species